rnacentral:rRNA from 1 species
GAUGAACGCUGGCGGCGUGCCUAAUACAUGCAAGUCGAGCGAACAGACGAGGAGCUUGCUCCUCUGACGUUAGCGGCGGACGGGUGAGUAACACGUGGAUAACCUACCUAUAAGACUGGGAUAACUUCGGGAAACCGGAGCUAAUACCGGAUAAUAUAUUGAACCGCAUGGUUCACUAGUGAAAGACGGUUUUGCUGUCACUUAUAGAUGGAUCCCCGUCUCAUUAGCUAGGUGGUAAGGUAACGGCUUACAAAGGCAACGAUGCGUAGCCGCCCUGAGAGGGUGGUCGGCCACCCUGGAACUGAGACGCGGUCCAGACACCCACGGGGGGCAGCAGUAGGGAAUCUUACGCGAUGGGGGAAUGCCUGACGGAGCACCGCCGCGUGAGGGAUGAAGGUCUUCUGACCGUAAAACUCUGUUAUUAGGGAAGAACAAAUGUGUAAGUAACUAUGCACGUCUUGACGGUACCUAAUCAGAAAGCCACGGCUAACUACGUG